UUCCCCGUCUUACAGCAGCGCCUCCUGUGAGUGGAGAGCGCUGUUUUUAUAAACGGGGUAAAACACGCUGCUUUCUUCCCUCCCGGCUGGACACGGUUCCUUUCAGGGUCUACAUACGAGCAAACAUU